rnacentral:rRNA from 1 species
CGCCAGACUCCUACGGGAGGCAGCAGUGAGGAAUAUUGGUCAAUGGCCGGAAGGCUGAACCAGCCAAGCCGCGUGAAGGACGAAGGUGCCAAGCAUUGUAAACUUCUUUUGUCAAGGGACAAAAUCAGGCUCGAGAGCCUGACCGAGGGUACUUGAAGAAAAGGCAUCGGCUAGCUCCGUGCCAGCAGCCGCGGUAAUACGGAGGAUGCGAGCGUUAUCCGGAUUUAUUGGGUUUAAAGGGUGCGUAGGCGGGCUGUUAAGCCAGCGGUCAAAUGUCGGGGCUCAACCCCGGCCUGCCGUUGAAACUGGCAGACUUGAGUUGGCGAGAAGUACGCGGAAUGCGCGGUGUAGCGGUGAAAUGCAUAGAUAUCGCGCAGAACCCCGAUUGCGAAGGCAGCAUACCGGUGCACAACUGACGCUCAGGCACGAAAGCGUGGGUAUCGAACAGGAUUAGAUACCCUAGUA